CCUACGGGACGCAGCAGUGGGGGAUAUUGCACAAUGGGGGGAACCCUGAUGCAGCGACGCCGCGUGGGUGAAGGAGCGUUUCGGCGCGUAAAGCCCUAUCGGCAGGGAAGAAGGAGGACGGUACCUGACUAAGAAGCCCCGGCUAACUACGUGCCAGCAGCCGCGGUAAUACGUAGGGGGCAAGCGUUAUCCGGAUUUACUGGGUGUAAAGGGGGCGCAGACGGCAGCGCAAGCCAGGAGUGAAAGCCCGGGGCCCAACCCUGGGACUGCUCUGAAACUGGAAAACCUGGGGGCGGGGGGGGGGG
rnacentral:rRNA from 1 species